rnacentral:rRNA from 1 species
GACGAACGCUGGCGGCGUGCCUAAUACAUGCAAGUAGAACGCAGUUGCGAACGGGUGAGUAACGCGUAGGUAACUGCCUGGUAGCGGGGGAUAACUAUUGGAAACGAUAGCUAAUACCGCAUACUACCAGAUGGACCUGCGUUGUAUUAGCUAGUUGGUGGGGUAACGGCUCACCAAGGCAACGAUACAUAGCCGACCUGAGAGGGUGAUCGGCCACACUGGGACUGAGACACGGCCCAGACUCCUACGGGAGGCAGCAGUGGGGAAUAUUGCACAAUGGGCGCAAGCCUGAUGCAGCCAUGCCGCGGGUGUGAAGAAGGCCUUCGGGUUGUAAAGCACUUUCAGCGGGGAGGCGUUACCCGCAGAAGAAGCACCGGCUAACUCCGUGCCAGCAGCCGCGGUAAUAC